rnacentral:rRNA from 1 species
AACGAACGCUGGCGGCAGGCUUAACACAUGCAAGUCGAACGCAUCCUUCGGGGAGAGUGGCAGACGGCAGAGUAACGUCUGGGAACCUGCCCUUCAGUUCGGCAUAACCCAGGGAAACUUGCGCUCAUACCGGCCACGUGCGACAGCAGCAAGAUUUAUCGCUGAAGGAUCGGCCCGCGUCGGAUCAGCUAGUUGGUGGGGAAAGGGCCCACCAAGGCGCCGAUCAGUAGCUGGUCUGAGCGGAUGAUCAGCCACAUUGGGACUGAGACACGGCCCAAACUCCUACGGGAGGCAGCAGUGGGGAAUAUUGAACAAUGGGCGCAAGCCUGAUCCAGCCAUGCCGCGUGAGUGAUGAAGGCAUUAGGGUAGUAAAGCUCUUUCGUCCGGGACGAUAAUGACGGUACCGGAAGAAGAAGCCCCGGCUAACUUCGUGCCAGCAGCCGCCGCAGUAA